CCUACGGGAGGCAGCAGUGAGGAAUAUUGGUCAAUGGUCGGGAGACUGAACCAGCCAAGCCGCGUGAGGGAUGAAGGUACAGAGUAUCGUAAACCUCUUUUGUCAGGGAACAAAGGCGGGGACGUGUCCCCGGAUGAGUGUACCUGAAGAAAAAGCAUCGGCUAACUCCGUGCCAGCAGCCGCGGUAAUACGGAGGAUGCGAGCGUUAUCCGGAUUUAUUGGGUUUAAAGGGUGCGCAGGCGGUCUGUUAAGUCAGCGGUAAAAGCCCGGGGCCAACCCCCGGCCCGCCGUUGAAACUGGCAGUCUCGAGUUGGAGAGAAGUAUGCGGAAUGCGCGGUGUAGCGGUGAAAUGCAUAGAUAUCGCGCAGAACUCCGAUUGCGAAGGCAGCAUGCCGGCUCCACACUGACGCUGAGGCACGAAAGCGUGGGUAUCGAACAGGAUUAGAUACCCGGGUAGUC
rnacentral:rRNA from 1 species